GCGAGGAUGAAUCUAUGGUUAUGAAGUACUUUCCAUGGUAUCCAACAUGUCCACCACGCCCAGGCAACUCUGUCAUACCAAAAUUUCUAAAGUUCCUGUGUCAUACUGCAUGGAACUCUCCUGCUCUUUCAGCCUUAGGUCAAAUGCAUGGCAAAGGAAUCCACUACACUCCAGAGAAAGGACAUCAGGGGACCGACCACCAUCCAAAGCAACUGACAGUCGUUCUAUCUCUCGUUCUCUUAGCUCAAUCUGAAGAUAUAGUCAUGCUGUCAUUUUAAAAAAUCUGGUUUUCAACCAAAUGAUUAACACUGUACAAACAUUUAUUUGGA
rnacentral:lncRNA from 10 species